ACCCGGCGGGCGCGGUGCUGAGGGACGGAGCGAGGGGACGGAGGGACAGGGAGCGCCGCCGGCUGUCAAGCAGAGCAGUUGCCAAGUGAUCUUCUCCACAGCACCCACGAACUUUGGCCUUACACUGAAGAGGACUCGUCAAAUGCUUUGGGAGAUACAACACAGAAUUGGAAGAGAAGCAUGGAUCUACCUGAAGGGCAGUUCGCUGCAUUCUUGGUGUGUGGAGGAACGGGUCCCGUGCUCACUGUUGUUACUCCCACAUAGGCGGACUCUGUAACUGAUUAUAUGUGGGUAGGGCCCUAUUGAAAUUAAGGAGAUUCUGCAGUAGUGCGGGGUUCUGUUUGUGUGACCCUACUGUGCCUUCUUACUGUGAAUUCUGUCAGUGUAUCAUGGGUUGUGCUGGAACCUGCCUUUUGGGAUAAUUACCAAAUAAUAUAUUCCUCAAAACUUCUUAAUGGCACUGAGGCUUUGUGGAUAGUUGGUCACAUGAUGAGAAAAUUCAGCUAAAAUCCAUACAAUAUAUCCAUUAAGGAUAUCAUUAUUCUUGGAUAAUUCACCACGUGAACCCGGAGUCCUUCAGCACUGCUGUUAGAUCAUGGACAAGGAUAAAAGUUCACCUAUUUGUGCAAGCAGCGCUGGCACCCUGACUGCACUAUGUGACCCUCCACAUAGGAGGCUGUGUGCCUUCAUUCCAGCACCAGCAAUGCACUUUUCCCUUGACUUCCAGCUCCAGCACGUGUUCCUCAGAUUUUUAGAGCAAGUCAAACCACUGAAGGGCUGGGAGUCACUGCCGGAGCGCCUGGAACUACAACCCGCUGAACGCUGAAGCUCUUUUAAUAUACUCAUUUAUGUUCAAAAUGGAAAGCGCCACGGAGAGCUGAAAAAGCAGGCAAUCUCUUAUUUUGCUUUCUCAUCGAGCCCAUGAGUGAAGACUGCGAGAGGAUGAGACGUACCAGCUCUGAAGUCUUGAAGGUCGUGCUGACCAGAAACAAUCACAGCAGCUCACCAGCUAGCAGUGAUUAGUCCUGGCUGAAUAAAUCAGCUCGCAGUGCACCGUGUUCUGAUAAGUGUAUUCUUCUGCUUACACGUUAUGUACAUCUAUGGUUAUUUAAUUAAACUGAUAGAAAAUGAAGUGCCCUUUUGCUACAUUUUAAUUGAAUUCCGCUUUCCGUCUACAUGGAGUUCACAAAUCGGAACUGGAAGGCUUAAUCACGUAGUAAAGAAAACCCAUUAUGUUUUCUAUUGUAAAACAUAACAAUUAAGAGUCAGAGGUUUGCUUUACAGGAGAUUAAGUAAAAAUUGUAUGGCUAGGGAAUAACAAGCCAGCUAACAAAAAGAAUCGUGUUUUGUGAGUGGCUAUAUUUAAUUGAAAAAGGGCCUCGAACACUGAAAUAAAAUAAUGCAAAUAUAAAACCAUACCAAAAUAGGUGGAAUAAGGUAGGGUCCUUCUCUUUUCUGUUUGGAGGGGUAGUUGAUAAGGAUCAUUUAACUCAGAGGCGCAAAGCGAUGCACCCAGGCAGCUGCUGCUCCUACUGGGGCAGCAGCACCCAUUGCCUCUGCCCCUGCCUCCAGGGUGCUGCAGCACUUACAGAGAGUAAAUGGAGGUGCUGGGACCUGGCCAGGGAGAAGGUAGAAGGUGACCUAAGGUUAGAUGACCCUGACAGUCAAGUGUGCUGCCUUGACAAAGCGCAGUGGCUUGACAAUUGCUCGAGGCUUGCAAAACAUUGCGUUAUCGUGUUCGUGCUGUAUCCACUGAUAGAGAUUGUUUUCCUUGUACGUGCUGGGUAUUUCUAACUCCGCCGAACCUACUGAUGUGUGAAAACAGAGAUAAGUUCCAACUGGAGGCCUCCAGCCUGAAAGUCUGAAACUUGGAGCGUCUGCGUUGUCUGAGUUAUUCCUUUGGGCCUGCGGCCUCUGUCUUUAAGUGAAGAGCCAAUCCAUGCCCGGCAUCUACGCUGCUCUUUGAAAUGCUUUUUUUAUUUUUUAUUCUUUGAAUGCUGUCUUUGUUAGAGCUGCAGAAGUUGCAGUGAAAGAAUAUCUCAGUUUUGCGCUCGAUGAAUGCCUUUGUAUUAAUUCUCUCCUUGCAUAGGUUUGAGCAGUAGGGCUGGUGGGUACAUUAACGACUUGCAGUGGGGCACUCCACGCUCACAGCUCAGUAUUGAAGGCAAAUGUAGAAGCUCAGCCAUUGACUACGUAUUUUUUACACUGGAAGAACUUAAAUUUUUUUGGUCUGUGCUGUAACAGAACUUCCUUUUGAAGCGCUGUCUGCCGUUACUGUUUCUUCCCCAUUCAGCAGAAGUUUUAGUGAUAAUGUAAACACGAGCCUCUUUCAGCUGAAGAUUUUGCUUUCCAUAAAAGAAAGUAUUCCUUUUUCUGCAAAGUGGCCUGGAAUAAUCUUCUCUUCCUAUAUUUUUGCCUAUAUCUUAACAUUUGCUUAAGUAUCAAGAAGCUUCUCGGUGCAAGGGAGGAUGCAGGAAUACAUAGAAGGUAACAGGAUUUUUUUAAAGUAGAUUUGUAAAAUAAAAACAAGGAAGGGGGAAGCAGCAUACAACGCACAGCAGACAUGGGCUGCAGCGGUUAGGGAGGUGUGUGCCCGUGCUGAGGACGACUGCAGACUGUCAGGGUCAGGACAUGGUCACGUAUGACCUGAGGGGCACAGAGAGGCAGAACCUUUGAUUUGCAAGAGAAUGCGUGCGCUUUGAUUAAUUCAUUUGCACAGCAUUAGAAAGUAAAGAGGGUAACAGCCUGGCUGAAGGCUCCGGUCAUCAACUCAGCAUCUUCCAUGAAACUCCCCCAUCUCUGCCUCCAUUUUUGUGCCCCUUGCAUAUUUCCAGCAGCCUCUCCCUCCAUAUGGUUGACUUUCAUGCACGAGAAAAGGGCAGUUUUGUUGGUAAGUGUGCUGUCACACGACACAACCUGUCAUUAUUUUAAUUCCUGCUUUCAAAUGAAACGUCUGCCAGUCUGUAUGUUAAAAUCGUGUAUUUUCACCACUACAUUAACAAUACCUGAAUUUGACAUAUGGCUUUUUCUCUGCAGAGCUCAACGUACUUUUAAGCCUUGAACGAGAUUUUGCUCUUUUUAAAACUCACAGAGCCCAGGUGGAAGUGGCUGUGGCAAGGUUAAACUGUUCGUGUCUUGUCACCCCAUGAUUAUACAGCUCCUCUCAUCUCUGUGUGCCCAGAAUCAUAGAGUCACAGAAUGACUUGGGUUGGAAGGGGCCUCAAGGAACAUCCAGUUCCAGCCCUCUGCCAUGGGCAGGGUUACCAACCACUAAGUUAGGCACUACAGUCUAUUCAGUGCUCUGUGCUCGAUCUCCUACUGCUCCCCAGAACUUUCCCCAUUCCAACACAGGGGAAGGCUCGUGGCCUCCUUCUGCAGUUCCUUACCACACGUAGCCGUGGAGCAUCCUGCAUGCAUACUUUGUCUCUUAGGUCCAGUGAGGGGUAGGACAGCUUUAAUUGUCCUGAUCUUAAAAGUUUGGAGGCAGGGAGAGAAUUAUGGCCCUAACCUGAACUUCCAUUCCAAACCACGAUCCAUCUCCUACCUUGGCACAGAUUUAACAUCAGCUGUAUGGUAUAACUCGAAAUCAUCUGCACUCAGGUGGUGGGGAGAAAGAGACAGCAAUGAUAUUUUUCAAUGUGCUAAUCGAUCCAGUUUGCUUAAGCUUAAGAAAUUAGGCAGAGGCACUUGAUUUCUUGAUUUCAUUCAUUUACAGGCCGGCUUUACCUGCACUGCUGAGCUACUGUGACAGUAUGGCUUAUGUGACUUGUGUCGAGCAGGAAGCUUUCAAAGCCACGUGCCAAAGG